UGGCCCUAAGGACACUGGGAGUGACAGCGGGCUGCUAAGGAUGUGACAGUGACUGGGCUGUUCCCUUCACAUGACUACCAGGGCAAGCCCUGGCCAAAUCCCAGCACCUGCUGAAAGUUGAAGCUGACCACUGGAGUGAUUAGAUUCAUGACAUGUGGUGGAGGCCUGGGGAGUGGAGCUACUGGGAAAGGACACAGCUAAGGAAUCUCCUCCCUCCCAGCAUUGCUUGACCCUUUCACAAAGACAGUGAAAUGAAGAGAGAGGGAAGGAAGACACAGACUCUGAUCUUUGGCUUCACUUUGGUUCCAAGACCUGGAGCUGAUAGUGUAUGGAGGGUUGCCUGUUUGUCCAGGCACUAUGAAUAAGACCAAGGUAAUCCAGCCCAACUCUACGACACAGCUAAGCCAACAAGCAGCUGGAUCUUGUGUCUCAGCACUCACAGAAAUGUAUAAAUCAUCUGAUACCAACUGCUCCCCGGAAGCCUCUGUCUCCAGAAUAUAAAUGUCCAACUACAGGACUGGCAAAGAAACCAAGCCCUGGGCAAUGCCUA
rnacentral:lncRNA from 1 species